ensembl:lncRNA
CACAGAGCUAAUUUAGGGGUAGCAAGCUCAGGGAUGCAGGCUCCCAGCUUACAAAUCUUUCAGUAGCUCUGCUCACAUUAUGAUAUAUUUACAAGGCAUAGCACUUGUCCACAGAGAAAAGGAAAUAGAGGAGAUCUAAGAGAUGAUGAUCUUUCUCUGUGCUCUGACGUUAUUUCUCACCUAUGGCAGUUUCUUCUCUGCUAGUAGCAGCUAUCACUAUUUCUGUAGCACAAAGUAAAAUAGAACCAACAUUAGGGACGUAUUGUAGGACAGCACUUCUGACAUCCCUACAACAUUCUUUCUAGCCACAGCAACACGUGGAAUGGAAAACACGAGGUAUUUAGCUCUGCCAUUAUGAAGGAGCAACACCAGGAGCAACAUCUUACAAUAGGGUGUCUGUCUCUCACCCGGGGGACCUUGAUAUCAGUUGAAAAUGCAGCCUACACAUAUGAGAAGAGCUCCAGAGCAUGAAAACUACAGCUCUCAUCUUGAGGUCCAGCAUGCUAUGGAGCCCUGUGUCUAUGUGUGCGCACAUUUGCUUCAGUCAGACUCUGCCUGGAGAUGAUAACAGCAUCGCAAAAGCCAGACAAAGACAAGAAAUAUGAAGCAGCAGAAGCAGAGAAAAGACUGUGGGGAAAGGGGCAGGAGGAGAAGGAAACAAACAAAUAAAAGAAAAAGACAUUUACUUCCGCUCAUUUAAAGACCACGGAAGCCAGGCAAGUGAGAGACCAUGGCAUAAGCCCUACUUUCCUGAGUAUGUGUGACAAUGUCAGGGAGAGUGGGGGACAUUGUGUAGACUCCCUGUACUGUGAAGGUUUAUUCUCCAUAACUCACGGAACAGCAGGAAAUUUCCAGAGGAUUGACAGAAAGCUUGUCUUGAGCUAAUAUUUUAAAAAGGUAAAGGAGACGACCCAGGUAAUUAUAGGCUUGUCAGCCUGACAUCGAUCCCAGGUAAAAUAAUGGAGCAGCUAAUAGGGGAAAUAUAAUUCACGCCCCUCAGCAGGGGUUUAUGGAAAACAAACCCUGUCAAAUGAACUUAAUAUCUUUCUUUGCCUCAAUUACAAGUUUGGUAGAUGAAGCCAACAGGGUUGAUGAAAAAAUACUUAGACUUCUCCAAAGCAUUCAGCUUGGUAUCACGCACCACUUGGGUUUAAAUAUUAAAACAAUACAGAGCCAACGGGGUAUGUAGUAAAUGGAACAAACUGACAGAUGACUCCGAAAAUAUGACUGAACAGAAAAUGCUGACAUCCUGAUGGUGUGGUACGCGUUGGGACCUACAAGGUCUGGUGGAUGUCAUUGUGGUACUUUACAUUCAUACCUGUAAUUUACUAAAAUCUGUUACUGAAAACUGUGAUAUCGCUAAGAAUGGAAGGGUGGAAAUUUGCAAGGAGAGAUCACUGAUAUGGGCACAUUUUUAAUUUCAGCAUCAAGUAAGGUAGAAUUGGGAAAAAAAAAAAUUUAUUUGAAUCAUAUGUGAAGACACCUAGGAACAGAAAAUGUAGGCAGUGUUUAGAGGACAGGGAACAGGGGAAAAUGUUUGCAAAAAUAAGUUAUGAACUUCAGUUUGUCAAGCAGAAAAUGUCCAGUGCAACUCUGACCAAAAACACUUGAUCAAAUAUUUUAUUAGGGCCAUUUCUGAGGGCAGUAAAGAGGCAAUUCUAUCUUUUCUUUGAAACUGGUGUAACCAUACCAGGAACUCAGACUGCUCAGCUCAAGAAACAGUGAUGAGUCAGAGAUGCUCUAGAGGAGACUGAGGAGUGUUCCUGGGAUCAGCAAACCUCCUUUCAAUGCACGACUCCAAUAGCCGGUGUUUUCUCUGCCAGAGUGAUGGCUGCAAGGGUGAUCCUCCCACCAUCCAUCAGCAUCCAGCAGAGAAGAACAUUUCCAAGGGUCAAUAGCCAUAUUGCUUUUUUAUUUCUGUGGAUUCUGGAGCAGCUCCUUGCUGAGCAAUACCUGCUUCUGAAGCUGGUCUUUGAUGCAUGAUUCUGCUCCUGGUACUUAUCUCCUAUGUCUAUUGGAAACUAACAUUUACUUGUCCACUGCAUCAGGACACUGUGAGAACAACUAAGAUAACAGUUGAAAAGUGCUGCCUUGGUGCCAACUCAAUAUAUAGUUAUGUAUUUUAUUACUGUGUUUGCUCAGCACCAAGAAAACUGCAGUUUUCCCCUUGCCCCAAAUGACUUUUUUCACUUGAGAGGCACCAGGAAAGGCUCAAGAUAACUGGAGAAACUCUCACAAAACCUUGCUGCUAGGAAUACUAAUGUCCACCAAUCACUGCCCAGUUGCGUACCCUGUACUGUGGUUUAAGUCAUCAUACCAAGGUGAACUAGCACAGGUGGUUGUGUGUUAUUAAUUAAUUAGUAAUAAAUGGCUCUGCACUGUGGACUUAAGAGCUUAUAAAUAAAAUCCUCAGCAUCUACAGUGACUGCAGGCAGCAUGUGGAAAUGUUCCGGAGAGAGGUGAGCUCCCAGUCCCUGUGGAAUGCAAGCUGCCACUCUGCAUCUUAACUGAUUGACUAUUUAUUUCUUAUUUCGGUUGGAAAAGAGCUCACCACAUCCUUUGGGCAAAAAAAAAUAUUAAAAAAUAGGGAUGACCUCUAAGCCCACUCUGGGGGCUGGAUUUUCAUAUUUGCUUAACAUUUCCCAUGUGCAGAAAUAGAAAGGGUGGGUGACUAAUAGACUUAAGUACUGCUAGGUGAGACGAUGCUAGCGACUGAAGAAUAUGCAUUAGCUGGCACCAGCUCAGCCAGAAAAGGGAGAAAUCCACUUAGAGCUGCCUCUCCGGUAAGAUAAGUCCCAGGUUCACAGAGUGAGAUGCCUCCUCCCUGCUGCAGCACUGAAUUAAGUUUGUCAUUUGUUAUUGUGUCUUGCCAGAGCACAAAAUAGCAGCUCUGGGCUGUAAUCUCCACUCAUCUGAGUCUGCACAGUAAUUGCUGGCAGUCAUGGAAACCAUACUUCCCACAGUCAUUUAUAAACUUGACCCUCCUUGCUUCCUUAUUGCUGUAUUCAGCCAAGCCCUUGACGGGGGUAAGUGAAGAGACAGGAAAUCAUAAACUGCAUUUGCAAACUAAGGUUUGGUGGCAGAGCCCAGAGAAUUGGCCAGCAGCCCACUCUGUGAGUAGGAGCCCUUCCAGCAGCACCACUCAUCUCAGCAGUGGGCUGCUGAUGAAGAAGAUAGAACAGUACCAUCCGCUGUGGUAAGCUCCAAUUAAUGACUAACCAGCCUUUGUCUUCAUUGCAUGGGACACAGGUAUGGCUUCCUUGCCUCCAAAUCUUGUCACAGGCUUUCUGGGAAGUCUUAGCCGUGUCACCCAACUCACCUUCUUCCUGAGUUCCUCCAGUUGGAGAUAGCAACAGCCCCUGUUUCACAGCGUCAUGGUGAAGGUGAAACAAUGAAGGCCCCCAGGCAGCUCUAUGAUUUGAGCCAUAGAAAGCCAAAGUACUCAGGUUGUUAUUUUCCUCAUGAGAUGCUCAAGGGUACAAUAAAACAUCUGAAAAUACUUCUGGCUGGAGGACCAUUUCUUCUUAAUAUGCUGCACCAGGUUAUCACACUUUGUCAUGAUGCGUUAAACCAGGCUGGGUUAAGUUAAAAACUGACACAUCUGUAGCAGAUUGGGCAUUCAAAGGUGACCCUUUCAGGCAAGGUGAACAAAGGAGUACACCCUCUCAUUCAAUUUUUUUCUUUGGGCAGGUGGAAGAUAAUUAAGAUAUGGUAAGCUUGGUCAUUUUUUACUCAAAGACAGAUCUCAGUAGCUAUUUGACCCUUAUUUGAAAGAAAAAUACUAUAUUAUGGUAUCAUUAUUUACCCAAGAGCUGUGUACCAAACAUAAAGUUUGGUUCUAGAGGUUAAAUUCCCUCAAGUUGGAUUUAUUCCAAGCCAGGGUUUUCUGCUUGAGCCUGAUGCAAUGUGCUACAGAGCUGGGAAGGAUUUUGCCUCUUUCUUCCUUUUUUCAAGUGCUACCUGAUGCAAUGCACUACUCCAGG